rnacentral:tRNA from 1 species
GGCCGCCUGGCGAAAUGGCAUCGCGUCUGACUACGAGUUGGUAAUCAGGAGAUUGCAGGUUCGACCCCUGCGGUGGUCA